CUCCAAACUACGUCUUGGUAGGGCCGAGAGCACAGGAUUCCUGGCCCAAAGAGGUAUGUGCCGUGGACACCAAGCUCGGUGGAACCUUCGGGAUAUUCAAGUCGAAUGAUGUCACGUGCUUCUCGCUUCCUGCUUCUUCAAGAAAAAGAAAAGGCCCGGCUUAAAGGAGGGAGCUUGCAGAGUGAGAAGUCCUACAACUUGUUGGGGGGGGGAAGCUUAUGAGCUGGAGCUAUUCACGAGAAGAUGAAUGAUAAAUUUGCAGAGGAGCUGGAGGGAAAGGGUGAAAGCAAAUAAAAGGCAGUGCCCAGACGAGGGUUUGAAAGUGGAGCUGUGCCAAGAAAAAAAAGAUUAACACAACGCAUUUCGACCAUCAAUUUUGAACUCGAAGCAAUCCAACAGGCCAUGACGACAAAGCAACUUAUUCAACCUUUCCACCCAACAUGAGCCAACGUAUAGUAAGAGCAGCUUCGUUAGUCUCACCCCCACACAUCGCGACACAAGCUCGGUGCAAACGCUCCGGGCACGUGCCGUGCCGGGUGGAUGGAUGGGGGAGCAGCCUCUUUGCCCUGCACUGAUUUGCGUCCGUGUUCCUGGUGGAGGAUCAUCGAGAGCCAAUUGUACACCACCGGCUUUUUCUUGGAUACACCUUACAGCACCAUGUCCCGCACUCUCCUAGCUUUCCACCUCCUCUCACUUUUCUUCACUGGCUGGUGUGAGACUCCACAUUGCCCCUCAAUGGCCACCUCAUGGAAGGCCGAUGUCCCCGGCAAAGCAAGUGCGGUGAGCACAUGGUGGCGGUGUGUGCAGCGGCCGAGUGUGCAGGGGCAGAACGUGCAAUAUCCGAGCGUGAAGUUGCUUGGGCGUCUCCUGCAGGCAGCGGCCCGGAGCGGAAAGCGUCACGUGGACGAGUUUGUAGGUCUUAUGGGACGCCGUGAGCCAGAGAUGAUAAAAGAAAAUGUUCAAUCAGAUAAGAAAUCUAACGAGUUUUAUGGACUAAUGGGGCGCUCUGCCGACGCUCUUGGUAAGUAUUUGUUGUCUCUUCGACACGUACAUUAUUGUUUGUCUGCAUUUGGCCCCUGUAUUAUAAUUGAGGUGAAAACUGAAAC
rnacentral:lncRNA from 1 species